rnacentral:rRNA from 1 species
UACGGAGGGUGCAAGCGUUGUUCGGAUUUAUUGGGCGUAAAGCGCGUGUAGGCGGUUUCUUAAGUCUGAUGUGAAAGCCCUGGGCUCAACCCAGGAAGUGCAUUGGAUACUGGGAGACUUGAAUACGGGAGAGGGUAGUGGAAUUCCUAGUGUAGGAGUGAAAUCCGUAGAUAUUAGGAGGAACACCAGUGGCGAAGGCGGCUACCUGGACCGAUAUUGGACGCUAGACGCGAAAGCGUGGGGGAGCAAACAGG